UUGACCAUUUCAUGUGGACAUAUCUUUUAUUCUUUUAAACGACACAGUUUCAUAGUCCUCUGACUUACGUUUUCUCAGCGCAAAUUGAUCCUUCAAUCUCUCAGCGGGUUCCCGGUGAAGAUGAAGAAGAUUGAUCUGAAGAAGGUGGCUCGUAAGAUCGAGGUCGACAAUCGUAUUCCCCUCCGUAACUACUACCGCAUCGCCGAUAAUCUCCUCCGUCAGGCAGGCAUCUAUCGGGAAGAGAAGAAUGUUGUAGAUUUGUAUAUCAUGCUCCUUAGAUACUCAAGUUUGAUUUCUGAGACGAUCCCUUUCCACCGAGAUUACCAGGCGUCGCUUACACAAGAAAGACUUGGGAGUAGGAAGAGGUUGCGCGCUGUAAUCAAUGAGCUUGAGUCUCUGAAACCAGAGUUCGACAGGCGAGUGGAUGAGCUGAACAGAGCGGAUGAUGAAUCGUAUAGUGUUGUUGGAAGUGGUUUCCCGGUCGUAUCGUAUAGUUCAGAUGCUGUUGAGUGGCCUCCUGUCAACAGAGCUUCAUACUUUAGACCUGGUGAUAUUAACAAGCCGGCCUUACCAACAACGUCUCAGACAUCCGGGAUGUUUAACAGUAAGCCGAUUGAUCAGCAGUUCCAGAAGCUAUCUUUUGAUUUUCUGCCUCCAAACCAAGCAACCUUAUCUAGACAUUCAUUUCUAGGUCCAAGUGGUCUUAAAAGUCAGUGGGUUGCACCCAAGUCCGAGAUAAAGGUUCAAUAUCCGAGUAGUACCGAUUGGGGUACUGCUGAAAAUUCAGGGUUGAUUGACGCUGGACCUAGCGCUUCCUCAACAUCACUUAAUGGUGAUUCUCAAGGGGUCUCAACGCUGAACUCUGUGCUCUCUUUAGAUGACGGUCGAUGGCAGCGUCAUUCCGAGGCAGUAACAUCCCAGUUUAUAAGUGACGCAACUGAAGACCCCUUUCAGUUUGUGGGUAUGAAGCAACCUUCCCCUCCUCCUGUGCUAGCCCAAGUGCAUCAAGAAUAUGCCCAAAUUUGCCCAUCUAAAGUAGCUGAUCCUAGACCAGGACCUGCACUUCCUUCUUUAGAAGAAAAAGAGGGCAGCAAUGCCUAUCAGCAUUUGCAUGUGCCUGUGCGGAUAAUGGAAGAUUUCUUAAGGCUAGCACGGUCAAACACAGAAAGGAAUUUAGAAACUUGUGGAGUGCUUGCUGGCUCUCUGAAAAACAGGGUUUUUCAUAUCACUACCCUCAUAAUUCCAAAGCAGGAGUCUACCUCAGAUUCUUGUCAAACACUAAAUGAAGAAGAAAUAUUUGAAGUUCAAGACAGACUCUCUCUAUUUCCCUUGGGUUGGAUUCAUACACACCCUACACAAACUUGCUUCAUGUCAUCAGUUGAUCUUCACACACACUACUCGUACCAGAUAAUGCUCCCGGAGGCAGUUGCAAUCGUGAUGGCUCCAACAGACGAAACAACACCUCACGGAAUAUUCCAUCUGUCGGAUCCAUCAGGAGUAUCAGUGAUCCGUAACUGCCAGCAGCGAGGCUUCCACCCGCACGAAGAGUCAGAAGACGGUAACCCAAUCUACGAGCAUUGCUCACACGUCUUCCUCAACGCCAAGCUCAAAUACGAAGUCCUCGACCUCCGCUAAAACCAUUCCACUACUACCCAGUCACAGCCAUGUUUCUAUUUUAAACCUGAGAGAGAUCAGAUUACAAAAUAUUAAUAUGUUAAAUACCCUACUCAAGUUGGCUCUCAGCUAACUUGAGUGAUUAUGAUUGUGUUAAUAUGAUAUUGACUCCAAAAACGAAUAUACUACUUUUUCAUAUUCGUAUUAUACUAUUCAAAGCCUGGUUUGCUUGAAAUGAUAAAUUUAUAUGUAUUUUAAA